rnacentral:siRNA from 1 species
UAAAGGAACCUGCAAAAAUGCC